rnacentral:rRNA from 1 species
UACGGAGGGGGCUAGCGUUGUUCGGAAUUACUGGGCGUAAAGCGCGCGUAGGCGGACCUGCAAGUCGGGGGUGAAAGCCCGAGGCUCAACCUCGGAACUGCCUUCGAUACUGCGGGUCUCGAGUCCGGGAGAGGUGAGUGGAAUUCCUAGUGUAGAGGUGAAAUUCGUAGAUAUUAGGAAGAACACCAGUGGCGAAGGCGGCUCACUGGAUCGGUACUGACGCUGAGGUGCGAAAGCGUGGGGAGCAAACAGG